rnacentral:rRNA from 1 species
GACGGAGGAUGCAAGUGUUAUCCGGAAUCACUGGGCGUAAAGCGUCUGUAGGUGGUUUAAUAAGUCAACUGUUAAAUCUUGAGGCUCAACCUCAAAAUCGCAGUCGAAACUAUUAGGCUAGAGUAUAGUAGGGGUAAAGGGAAUUUCCAGUGAAGUGGUGAAAUGCGUAGAUAUUGGAAAGACCACCAAUGGCGAAGGCACUCUACUGGGCCACUACUGACACUGAGAGACGAAAGCUAGGGGAGCAAAUGGG